CUACGGGGGGCAGCAGUCGAGGAAAUUCUGCAAUGCUCGAAAGAGUGACAGAAUGAGUCAGAGUGUUUUCUUUUAGAAAACUUUUGUUAGUUGUAAAAAGACUAGCGAAUAAGGACUGGGCAAGACCGGUGCCAGCCGCCGCGGUAAUACCGGCGGUCCAAGUCGCAUCCACAUUUAUUUGGACUAAAACAUUCGUAGCUUGUUUUGUAAGUCUCUUGUGAAAUCUGGCAUCUUAAGUGUCAGGCGUGCAAGAGAUACUACAUUACUUGAGACCGGAAGACGCAAAGAGUAUGAAGGAGGUAGUGGUAAAAUAUGUUAAUCUCCUUCAGACUAACAAUAGCGAAGGCACUUUGCGAGUACGGAUCUGACAGUGAGGAAUGAAGGCUAGGGGCGCAAAAGGGAUUAGAUACCCGGGUAGUC
rnacentral:rRNA from 1 species